rnacentral:rRNA from 1 species
GACGAACGCUGGCGGCGUGCUUAACACAUGCAAGUCGAGCGGUAAGGCCCUUUCGGGGGUACACGAGCGGCGAACGGGUGAGUAACACGUGGGUGACCUGCCCUCAGCUCUGGGAUAAGCCUGGGAAACCGGGUCUAAUACCGGAUAUGACUCCAUGACGCAUGUUGUGGGGUGGAAAGCCUUGUGCGGCUGAGGAUGGGCCCGCGGCCUAUCAGCUUGUUGGUGGGGUGAUGGCCUACCAAGGCGACGACGGGUAGCCGGCCUGAGAGGGCGACCGGCCACACUGGGACUGAGACACGGCCCAGACUCCUACGGGAGGCAGCAGGUGGGGAAUCUUG